rnacentral:lncRNA from 1 species
ACCAGACUACAUCCAUCAGGUCCACCUGGUGCAGUACUCAAGGAUCUCCAGGGAGCAAGAAAGGUCUAGUAAUUAAGAAAGAUUCCUUUCCUGAGCUGCACUGGGUCACAGUGACUGUCAGGGUUAAAAGAUUGAUGGCUUAAUAAAGACCACCUGAAAAGGCAAUUGACCAGCCAGGGAAAAACAAUCAUCGCCACCCACCCACUACCGGCAGAGUCUCCGUUGAGUCCCACCAUGAAAGCAGAGCUGCUUGGAACUAUCUGCACUCAAUAUCAGGAUUGUUUGAACAAUCCUCAAACAAGCAUAAGAUGCAUUCCUUCAUUAACUGGUAGUCUACUCUCUGCCCAUUUCCUCGACUAGAUAUGUCGAGAUAAAUAAGCAGUUCCCCUGCUCUUAGGAGUUCAGAAUAUUGCAGAGGCCAUGAUUAUAUUCAAGAUUCUGAACAAGCCAAGCCCUCCAUUUAAAAAUGCUGCAGACCCAAGUGACCACCUGGUAAUUACUUCAACAGCAGAGCGACUCAUACAGCCAGCAAUCCACUUUGUUGUGAUCUGUAGAUCCUGCCUGUGGUGUUGGAUCUAACAGCUUCUUCCCUGACCCAAGAUUAUGAAGGAUUUCUCCUGUGUUCUCUUCUAAAAAUUUUACAUUUAGGUCCUGGGCUUUCUCUGCUAGAAGAGGCUGAAUCCCUGGAGUACCUAGAGUAGAGAGCUGGUGAAUGACCUCUUACCUCCCUGCUCUAGCCUGUCCUAUGUAACUUGGUCCCAGCCACCUCUCCUGUGGACUUUUCCUUCUUCUGAGCUUUUCCAGAUGCUGCGCUGAGCGCAGAUUCUGGUUUGAUGGCAUCUAGUCUGUAGGAAAACAUAGUUUGGUUUUGACCAGCACCUGAUAGACUCUUCUGCUCUUUUGGACUAGUCUUCUAGACACUAAUGGCAGUGGAAUUUGACCUUCUGGUCUUCCUUUUAUGUUUGCUAAAAUAAAUGAAGCCAGUAAUCUCAACA